rnacentral:rRNA from 1 species
CCUACGGGUGGCAGCAGUGAGGAAUCUUGGUCAAUGGACGGAAGUCUGAACCAGCCAUGCCGCGUGCGGGAAGACGGCUCUAUGAGUUGUAAACUGCUUUUGUACAAGGGUAAACCUGAAGACGUGUAUUCCGCUGAAAGUACUGUACGAAUAAAGAUCGGCUAACUCCGUGCCAUCAGCCGCGGUAAUACGGAGGAUCCAAGCGUUAUCCGGAUUUAUUGGGUUUAAAGGGUGCGUAGGCGGAUUGAUAAGUUAGAGGUGGAAUGUCUGAGCUUAACUCGGGAACUGCCUCUAAUACUGUUGAUCUAGAGUGUAGAUGAGGUAGGCGGAAUGUAUGGUGUAGCGGGGAAAUGCUUAGAGAUCAGACAGAACACCGAUUGCGAAGGCAGCUUACUAAUCUAUAUCUGACGCUGAGGCACGAAAGCGUGGGGAGCGAACAGGAUUAGAUACCCUUGUAGUC